rnacentral:rRNA from 1 species
GAUGAACGCUAGCGGCAAGCUUAAUACAUGCAAGUCGAGGGGCAGCAUGACUGUAGCAAUACAGUUGAUGGCGACCGGCAAACGGGUGCGGAACACGUACAGAACCUUCCUUCGAGCGGGGAAUAGCCCAGAGAAAUUUGGAUUAAUACCCCAUAGUAUUACGGAGUGGCAUCACUUUGUAAAUAAAGAUUUAUCACUUGAAGAUGGCUGUGCGGCUGAUUAGAUAGUUGGCAGGGUAACGGCCUACCAAGUCUACGAUCAGUAACUGGUGUGAGAGCACGACCAGUCACACGGGCACUGAAACACGGGCCCGACUCCUACGGGAGGCAGCAGUAAGGAAUAUUGGUCAAUGGACGAAAGUCUGAACCAGCUAUGCCGCGUGGAGGAUGAAGGCCCUCUGGGUUGUAAACUUCUUUUAUAUGGGACGAAAAAGGACCUUUCUAGGUCAACUGACGGUACCAUGUGAAUAAGCACCGGCUAACUCCGUGCCAGCAGCCGCCGCUGUAA